UUCGGGGGCCGAGUAGAGUGGCGUCCGGGUGAGUAACACGUASGUAAUCUACCUCUGGGUGGGGAAUAACAGCCGGAAACGGCUGCUAAUACCGCAUAAUGCAGCGGCACCACAUGGUGACAGUUGUUAAAGCGGGGGAACGAGCAAUCGUCCUCGCGCCUGGAGAGGAGCCUGCGGCGGAUUAGCUAGUUGGCGGGGUAACGGCCCACCAAGGCGUCGAUCCGUAGCCGGCCUGAGAGGGCGGUCGGCCACACUGGCACUGACACACGGGCCAGACUCCUACGGGAGGCAGCAGUCGGGAAUUUUGGGCAAUGGGCGAAAGCCUGACCCAGCAACGCCGCGUGAAGGAUGAAGCUUCUCGGAGUGUAAACUUCAUAAGAAUGGGACGAAUAAGUGGGGGAUAACACCCCCCAUGAUGACGGUACCAUUUGUAAGCUCCGGCUAACUCCGUGCCAGCAGCCGCGGUAAUACGGGGGGAGCAAGCGUUGUUCGGAUUUACUGGGCGUAAAGGGCGCGUAGGCGGCGCAACAAGUCACUUGUGAAAUCUCCGGGCUUAACCCGGAGCGGCCAAGUGAUACUGUCGUGCUAGAGUGCGGAAAGGGGCUACUGGAAUUCUCGGUGUAGCGGUGAAAUGC
rnacentral:rRNA from 1 species